CCUACGGGAGGCAGCAGUGAGGAAUAUUGGUCCAUGGGCGUAAGCCUGAACCAGCCAAAUCGCGUGAGGGAUGAAGGUUCUAUGGAUCGUAAACCUCUUUUAUAAGGGAAUAAAGUGCGGGACGUUUCCCGUUUUGUAUGUACCUUAUGAAUAAGGAUCGGCUAACUCCGUGCCAGCAGCCGCGGUAAUACGGAGGAUCCGAGCGUUAUCCGGAUUUAUUGGGGUUAAAGGGUGCGUAGGCGGACUUUUAAGUCAGCGGUAAAAGGCCGGGGCUCAACCCCGGCGAGCCGUUGAAACUGGCUGUCUUGAGAUGUCGAGAGGUAUGCGGAAUGCGCAGUGUAGCGGUGAAAUGCUUAGAUAUUGCGCAGAACUCCGAUUGCGAAGGCAGCAUACCGGCGGCGAUCUGACGCUGAGGCACGAAAGCGUGGGUAUCGAACAGGAUUAGAUACCCGUGUAGUC
rnacentral:rRNA from 1 species